rnacentral:rRNA from 1 species
UACGUAGGGUGCGAGCGUUAAUCGGAAUUACUGGGCGUAAAGCGUGCGCAGGCGGUUUUGUAAGCCGGAUGUGAAAUCCCCGGGCUUAACCUGGGAAUGGCAUUCGGGACUGCAAGGCUGGAGUGCGGCAGAGGAGACUGGAAUUCCUGGUGUAGCAGUGAAAUGCGUAGAUAUCAGGAGGAACACCGAUGGCGAAGGCAGGUCUCUGGGCUGACACUGACGCUGAGAAGCGAAAGCGUGGGGAGCGAACAGG